rnacentral:lncRNA from 1 species
AAAGUGAAUGAAGAAAUUUCAAAAGAAGAGAUAGACAAUGACAAAAGCUUUAUUAAUAUCAACAUUUUGAAGACACAGACCCAGCAACUGGAAGGGACAAUCCUGCCAUACAAGAAGCUCUUUUGGAUUCUACAGUAGAUGCAGAGAAUGCCUUCUGCUGGUGGACCUGUUAUACCACAACUGAAAGUUGUGAUUUGGACUGAUAUUAGAACCUGUAAAAACUACACUGAUGAAGUUCUCCAGCACAAGUUGGAGCUAAAUCUGCUUUAAAAGAGACCCGGGAAUUAUUCUGAUAAAUUUUGUAGUGAAAUUAGUAGGAUUCUCAGAAAGAUCAGCCUCUGAGAAGUAUGUAUCAACAAUCAACUUCAACACUUGGUUCAGGAAUACUGUGCUCCACAUCCCAGCUGCCUAAGACAAGAGAUGGUGCCAGCUGGGAAAAGAGAGAAGAAACUAAAAGGAACAGAUUUUUUUUUUUUCUAAAAUCACAGAAGGAUAAAUGAGAAAAGGAAUAAUACAUUAGCAGCAUUUCUAAUGGUACCAUUUUGGUAAAUCUUAAACAGAACACAACUGAGGCAACAAUUUAGAAGGACAUUAGAAUUUAUGAAGCGGCUCCAGUCAAAAGUUGAGCAAAUAAUAUGACUAGGGAUAUGCCUAAAGCAAUUAUCCCAGAAUGUGCAGUAGAUGU